GCCAUGCAUGUUUAAGCAGAAGCCGCACAACGGUAGAGCCGCGAAUGGCUCAUUACAACAGCCGUCGUUUCUUGGAUCUCUAAUUUUACUUGGAUAACUGUGGUAAUUCUAGAGCUAAUACACGCACUAAAGCUCUGACCUUACGGAACGAGCGCAUUUAUUAGAACAAAACCAAUCGGGUUUCGGCCCGUUCGUUGGUGACUCUGAAUAACUCUGCCGAUCGCACGGUCUCGCACCGGCGACGUAUCUUUCAAGUGUCUGCCUUAUCAACUUUCGAUGGUAGUUUAUGUGCCUACCAUGGUUGUAACGGGUAACGGAGAAUAAGGGUUCGACUCCGGAGAGGGAGCCUGAGAAACGGCUACCACAUCCAAGGAAGGCAGCAGGCGCGCAAAUUACCCACUCUCGGCACGAGGAGGUAGUGACGAAAAAUAACGAGACGGAUCUCUUUGAGGCCCGUUAUCGGAAUGAGAACAAUUCAAAUCCUUUAACGAGGAUCUAGCGGAGGGCAAGUCUGGUGCCAGCAGCCGCGGUAAUUCCAGCUCCGCAGGUGUAUAUCUAUGCUGCUGCGGUUAAAAGGCUCGUAGUUGGAUCUGCGUGCUCGGAACUGGUGGCUCACUGAGUUCAAACUGGUCUCCGGCGCUUUAUUGGCUGGUUUUCCCUUGAUGCUCUUAACCGGGUGUCUUGGGUGGCUAGCACGUUUACUUUGAAAAAAUUAGAGUGCUCAAUACAGGCGUAAAGCCUUGAAUAGUGGUGCAUGGAAUAAUAGAAUAGGACCUCGGCUCUAUUUUGUUGGUUUUCGGAACGCGAGGUAAUGAUUAAGAGGGACAGACGGGGGCAUUCGUAUUGCGACGUUAGAGGUGAAAUUCUUGGAUCGUCGCAAGACGGACGACUGCGAAAGCAUUUGCCAAGAAUGUUUUCAUUAAUCAAGAACGAAAGUUAGAGGUUCGAAGGCGAUCAGAUACCGCCCUAGUUCUAACCGUAAACGAUGCCAACUAGCGAUUCGCAGGCGUUAAACAACGACCUUGCGGGCAGCUUCCCGGAAACGAAAGUGUUCGGGUUCCGGGGGAAGUAUGGUUGCAAAGCUGAAACUUAAAGGAAUUGACGGAAGGGCACCACCAGGAGUGGAGCCUGCGGCUUAAUUUGACCCAACACGGGAAAACUCACCCGGCCCGGACACCGUAAGGAUUGACAGAUUGAGAGCUCUUUCUUGAUUCGGUGGGUGGUGUGCAUGGCCGUUCUUAGUUGGUGGAGCGAUUUGUCUGGUUUAUUCCGAUAACGAACGAGACUCUGGCCUACUAAAUAGUGGGCGGAUUCUUUCUGUCCGCAACACUUCUUAGAGGGACAAGCGGUGUUCAGCCGCACGAGAUUGAGCAAUAACAGGUCUGUGAUGCCC
rnacentral:rRNA from 1 species